rnacentral:rRNA from 1 species
CCUACGGGUGGCAGCAGUGAGGAAUAUUGGUCAAUGGACGAGAGUCUGAACCAGCCAAGUAGCGUGAAGGAUGACUGCCCUAUGGGUUGUAAACUUCUUUUAUAUGGGAAUAAAAUGUUCCACGUGUGGCAUUUUGUAUGUACCAUAUGAAUAAGGAUCGGCUAACUCCGUGCCAGCAGCCGCGGUAAUACGGAGGAUCCGAGCGUUAUCCGGAUUUAUUGGGUUUAAAGGGAGCGUAGGUGGAUUGUUAAGUCAGUUGUGAAAGUUUGCGGGUCAACCGUAAAAUUGCAGUUGAAACUGGCAGUCUUGAGUACAGUAGAGGUGGGCGGAAUUCGUGGUGUAGCGGUGAAAUGCUUAGAUAUCACGAAGAACUCCGAUUGCGAAGGCAGCUCACUGGACUACAACUGACGCUGAGGCUCGAAAGUGUGGGUAUCAAACAGGAUUAGAUACCCGAGUAGUC